UACGUAGGAGGCAAGCGUUGUCCGGAAUUACUGGGCGUAAAGCGCGUGUAGGUGGUGGGACAAGUCUGCUGUGAAAGCGCCUGGCUUAACCGGGCGAGGUCGGCGGAAACUGUCCGACUAGAGGACGGUAGAGGGGGGUGGAAUUCCCGUGUAGUGGUGAAAUGCGUAGAGAUCGGGAGGAACACCUGUGGCGAAGGCGGCCCCCUGGCCGGCCCUGACACUGAGACGCGAAGGCGUGGGGAGCGAACGGG
rnacentral:rRNA from 1 species